UACACCUUGUCAUCUUGGCCCGACUUGACAGCAUUGAUUGACAGUGUCGUUUCGACAAAUUCUCGCGUUCGCAAAAAGAAGCGAAAGAUAAAAGCAAAAAUAGUGCACGGUAUUGUUGUGUUGUUACCCUAAAUUGUGUGAAAUUAUCCUACGCGGCCUUCAACCUAUCCCGAUAAACAUCGCUAACCUUGUGGAACAGUUGUGCUGGCCGGAGAGCAUUAGGCCCAGAACUCAUCCCAUCUUUUCUCCACACGGAACACUCAAGGUUGAUUAUUGGUGGCAGACACAAGUAAUCAAGGCCACAGACGAACGUAUCUGCGCACAAGUGCGCACAGUGAAAUAAAACAAAAAAACCCGGAAGACGGAAGUGGUGUGUGCAUCUUCGCAAGAUUGUCUGCUUGUUCCGGAGCAGUCCAGCAUCAGGAUAAGUUCCGAACUAUACGCACACGACGUCAUGGACGCGGGCGACAGAGGUGAGUGUUGGUUGGCUGUAUUCCAUAACAAUCUUAGAUGUAUUUUAAUGGAUUAAAUGGUGAGCAAUUAAUGUAAUUAAAGAGAGGUUAAGGACAACCAUCAAUGUCUUUUGCACCUUUAUUCUUUAGCUUCAAUCAAAUAUAAAAUUAAAAUGCAAGAAUUCAUUUAAGAUGUUUAAAUUUCCCCCUUAAAAUCUUGACUGAAGCCUAUGAGAACCAGUCGAAAUUGGAAAAACAGUACGAAACUGGAAAA